CCUUUCUAACCCGCGAAUCGCCUGCCUAUAGAAGAUUGGCAUUUUGAUAUCUGAGAAUUCACUUUGUUCUAUGCUUGGCUCUUAGGGUUUAUCAGCCAUUAGAUAUCUAUCUCGCAGCCUCUCGCAGCCUCUUGCAGCACGCUCGCAUUAUUACUAACCGAUUUAUUAUCCUUUAUUUUAUGGUCUAGACAUGUAUUCUUCGAGAGGCAAUAGUGCCUACGGGCAGCAACCUUAUGGUGCUCAAUCUGGCUACGGUCAAAAUCUGGGAUCAGCAUAUUCUGGAAGUUCAGUUGGAGGGCUUGAUGGAGGUUCUCAACAUUCAUUGGCUUCUAGGCAUUCAUCAAUGUUAAGUAGUUCUCAAGAAGCAGAUAUUACUGGGUUCCGCAGCUCUGCGUCACAUUAUAUGGGUCAAUAUGGGGCUAUCUAUGGCUCGGCUUCCAUGACAGGUGCUCAACAGGUACCAGCAACGAGUGCUAAAGGGACUGGACCAUCAGCUUUGGAAGGUCGUGGUGGCUAUCCCUCAGGUCUAUCUGAUUCUCCAAAAUUUACAUCUGGUGACUAUGUUCCAUCAUCUAGUCAUGGAUAUGGUCACAAAGGUGAUCAAUUAUACAAGGAGAAGAUUCAUGAUUAUCCAGUGAUCGAUAGGCGUCAAUAUGGUGAACGACAAAGUGCUUAUAUUGCAAGGGACAUGCAAAGUGAUACAGCUGUACGAUAUGCUGAUUCUGUUGGUCUUAGUCAUCAACAUCAGGCUGGGAUGUAUGAGCGUAUUGAUCAGGCAUCGGUGCUCCGACAAGAACAGUUACUGAAAUCUCAGGCAUUGCAAUCUGCUUCUCUUGAUGGAACUGCUAGACAAAUUGAAUAUCUUUCAGCAAGGAGUGCUUCCAGUCGUCAUCCUGCUCAAGAGCUUGUGUCUUAUGGAGGAAGAAUGGAUGCUGAUCCUCGCAGUUCAUCAAUGCUUAGUGCUUCUUCAUACAGCGGGCAACAUGCUCCAUCAAUAUUAGGGGCAGCUCCAGGGAGGAAUGUGGAUGAUCUCCUGUAUCCUCAGAGUUCAUCAAAUCCAGGUUAUGGAGUUAGCCUGCCUCCUGGUAGGGAUUAUGGCACAGGAAAAGGGCUUCAUGGGACUUCUCUUGACUCAGAUUAUCGUGGAGGUCAUUUGAGGAUUGAUGAGCAUAGAGAUGAUAGAGCUGGUUAUCUUCGGGAGUUCGAGCUAAGAGAGGAGGAGCGUCGUCGGGAGCUUUUGCGUGAGAGAGAUAAAGAAAGAGAAAGGGAGAAGGAAAGAGAACGGGAACGGGAACGAGAACGAGAAAGAAAGCGUGAAAGGGAACGCAUUUUGGAGCGGCGUGAGCGUGAGAAGGAGAGGGAGCGAGAGCGGAAACGUGCCCUCGAAAUUAGGCGUGAACGAACUCCACCAAGAGUUUCAAGAGAUAGACGUGGGCCCUCUUUGACAAAGGAGGGGAGAUCCUCCCGGCGAGAUUCGACAAGCCAUGACGCUUCACAUAGGCGUCAUUCACCUGUUAAAGAAAAAAGAAGAGAAUAUGUCUGCAAGAUUCAUGCUUCCUGUUUGGUUGAUGUAGAGAGGGAUUAUUUAUCGAUAGAUAAGAGAUAUCCCAGACUAUUUAUAUCUCCUGAAUUAUCAAAGGUUGUCAUUAACUGGCCAAAGGAGAAUCUUAAACUUUCUAUCCAUACACCUGUCAGUUUUGAGCAUGAUUUUAUUGAAGAUGAAAGUGUACCAGAGCCAAAGGAGCACCCAUCAACUAAGCUUUCAACUCAACUUGAAAAAUCAGAGCAUGGUCACACAAUUUGGAAUGCAAAGAUAAUUUUGAUGAGUGGACUUAGUAGAGGUGCCCUGGAAGAGCUUUCUUCUGAUAAAAGCUAUGAUGAUCGUCUACCACAUAUUUGCAAUAUUCUUAGGUUUGCUAUCCUGAAAAGGGAUCGUUCUUUCAUGGCAAUUGGUGGUCCAUGGGAUUCUGUAGAUGGUGGUGAUCCCUCAGUUGAUGAUUCUGUUCUAGUUCAAACAGCCCUCAGAUAUACAAGGGAUGCAACACAAAUUGAUUUGCAGAACUGCCGUAACUGGAAUCGCUUUUUGGAGAUUCACUAUGAUAGGUUUGGCAAGGAUGGAUUCUUCAGCCAUAAAGAGAUCACUGUUCUGUUUGUUCCAGAUUUGUCUGAUUGCCUGCCUUCAUUGGAUACAUGGCGAGAGCAGUGGCUUGCUCACAAGAAGGCUGUAGCUGAGAGAGCACGUCAACUUUCAUUAAAAAAAGAGAGGUCUAGGGAGAAGAAGGAAGGGCAGAAAGGUGAAUAUGGUAAGGGAACGGAUUCUUCAAAAGAUUCUAAGGUGGACAAAUCGGAAAAAACCAAAGAGUCUUCAUCCUCUGGUGUUGACAACAAGGAGAAAGAUGGGAAAGGUAAAGCGACUGCACCAAAAGUUGAUGACAAGGACAAGAGCCUUGAGAAGAAUGGGAUUGGAACCGGAGAGAAAGUCAAGAAUAGUGAAAAGAAAGAACAAGGGGAUGCUGCAGGUCCUCAGACAGCUGAUGUGAAGACUGGAAAAAAGAAGAUUAUAAGGAGGAUUGUCAAACAGAAGGUUGCUAAUAAGAAAACAAAUGCUGAGAUUGCUGUCAGCAUGCAAAAUGAGUCUUUGGAGGAGAAGGAUGCUGGAGAGACCAAUGAAAGAUCUGAGAUACCUGUUGAGCAGAAUGAAUCUUCUGCUGAUCCUUCUGGAGUUAAAACUUUUGUGAGGAAGAAAGUUAUAAAAAAGGUUCCAGCAGGGAAAGCUGCUCAAAAUGAAGAUAAGGGCUUGCAACCAGGGGUUAAAAAUGAGAAGGAAGUGGAUAACACUGAAGAUAGCACAAAGGACAAUUCACAAACCGGUAGUGGUGCACCUGUGCAAGGUACUAGUGUCAAAACUGCCAUAAAGAAGAAAAUCAUUAAAAGAGUGCUCAAAAGAAAACUCGCAGGUGUGGGGACCAGUGACGGGGCCACUGAGGCUAAGAAGGAUGAGAAAAUAGUAGCUCAGACAAGUAACGAAACAGAUAAUAUGGAGAAAGAAAGAACGGGUGCAGAAAGCCAGAGGAAUGAGAUGCAAAUUUCAGAAAAGAAAAUAAUUCCAAAGUCAAAAGCACCAACUGUGGUGAAGGAAGAAAGUGUGCCCAAUUCAACCAAAUCAGAAAUCAAAGCUGUCAAGGCAGAUAAGAAGGAUGACAAGGAAAUUGAUGGGAAAAUUGCCUCAGGGGCUAAAAUUGAGGGAAAGGAUGACAAGCAAAAAGUUGCUCAGAGGGAUAAUAGUGAUAGCAAGAGAGGAAAAUCAAAGGAUGAUGAAAAAUCGAAGCAUGAGAAGGACAAAGAUGGCAAAGAUGAGUCUAGGAGCAAAUCUAAUAAGGAGACAAAAGAAAAGAGAAUGGCUGAAGAACCUCCUAGACAUCCUGGAUUGAUUUUUCAGACAAAAGGGGACAAGGAAACUAAACUGCGGUCAUUGUCACUUUCACUCGAGUCACUUUUGGACUACACAGAUAAUGAUACUGAGGAAUCCACAUUUGAGCUCUCAUUAUUUGCUGAAUCAUUUUAUGAAAUGCUUCAAUAUCAGAUGGGCUCCCGAAUCCUAACAUUCCUUCAGAAACUACGCAUAAAAUUUGUAACAAAAAGAAAUCAACGGAAGAGGCUUCGGGAGGAAAUGGAAGAGAAAGAUAAGGAGAGUAAAUCAUCAACCAAACGCCCAAAGACUAAUGAACAGCCUGUGAAAACUAAAUCUUUGGAGGGUGCAAAUCAAUCUGAGGAUCAAAAAACUAAGAAAAAGGAAGAUGCUUCUGUUGAUGAGGUUAAUGAAGCAAAGUUGGAAGACGAAAGUGAUUAUGAGGAAGACCCAGAGGAAGAUCCUGAAGAAUAUGAGGAAAUGGAGGAUCCUGGAGAUGACUUGUCUAAUGAGGUUGAUUGUUCGCCUGUCAAAACUGCUGCAUGCUAUCUUGUUGAAGUAGUUUUGUUUGGUGAAAUCAUUUACAGAAGAACAAAGAAGAGGAAAAGAUGAGUUCGGAUGCUGAUUAUGAACCAGUGACCGGCAAUGGGAAAGAAAAAGCAGAGGAGGAUGCCAAGGAGACAAAAAGUGAUGAGGCAGAGCUGAAGUCUGAUGUUGAUUUGUUGGAGAAAAGAGAUACCAAGGUGGAGACUGAGAAUAAAAAGCCAUCUGCUGUCAAGGAGGCUGUGAUUGACAAGGAACUAUUGCAAGCUUUUAGGUUUUUUGAUCGCAAUCAAACUGGCUAUAUUAGGGUUGAAGACAUGAGACUGAUUAUUCACAACUUGGGGAAGUUUCUCUCCCACAGGGAUGUGAAGGAACUUGUGCAAAGUGCAUUAUUGGAGAGCAACACAGGGAGGGACGAUCACAUUCUUUAUGACAAGCUGGUGAGAAUGACUAACAUUUAAUACGAGGUUUGGGUUGUUCUGGUCCAUGCGUAGGCUGUUGUUCUUUUGCAAUCUCCUAUUGGUCCUCAAUUUAAGGCGUGGAGCCUUCAUCAUUUUAUUUAUAGGUUGUGUUAGUUUUUCUUGAGUUUCGAUUCGGCGGUAAUCUUUGUUGGUUGAAAAGAAGACGCUGUUUUGAGUGUUGUUGAACUCUUUAGGAUCUUAGGUUACUAGUCCUGUAAUGAGAAAAUUUAUAUUGUUAUUGAGCAAUAUACUAAUAAUGGAAGCUUUGGAAGAUUUUCUACCCAAGCUCACGUUGAGAACUAUGAUUUAUCUGAGUAUUCCUUGCCUUUGACUGUAA